GACGAACGCUGGCGGCGUGCUUAACACAUGCAAGUCGAACGGAAAGGCCCUGCUUUUGUGGGGUGCCCGAGUGGCGAACGGGUGAGUAACACGUGAGUAACCUGCCCUUGACUUUGGGAUAACUUCAGGAAACUGGGGCUAAUACCGGAUAGGAGCUCCUGCUGCAUGGUGGGGGUUGGAAAGUUUCGGCGGUUGGGGAUGGACUCGCGGCUUAUCAGCUUGUUGGUGGGGUAGUGGCUUACCAAGGCUUUGACGGGUAGCCGGCCUGAGAGGGUGACCGGCCACAUUGGGACUGAGAUACGGCCCAGACUCCUACGGGAGGCAGCAGUGGGGAAUAUUGCACAAUGGGCGGAAGCCUGAUGCAGCAACGCCGCGUGCGGGAUGACGGCCUUCGGGUUGUAAACCGCUUUCGCCUGUGACGAAGCGUGAGUGACGGUAAUGGGUAAAGAAGCACCGGCUAACUACGUGCCAGCAGCCGCGGUGAUACGUAGGGUGCGAGCGUUGUCCGGAUUUAUUGGGCGUAAAGGGCUCGUAGGUGGUUGAUCGCGUCGGAAGUGUAAUCUUGGGGCUUAACCCUGAGCGUGCUUUCGAUACGGGUUGACUUGAGGAAGGUAGGGGAGAAUGGAAUUCCUGGUGGAGCGGUGGAAUGCGCAGAUAUCAGGAGGAACACCAGUGGCGAAGGCGGUUCUCUGGGCCUUUCCUGACGCUGAGGAGCGAAAGCGUGGGGAGCGAACAGGCUUAGAUACCCUGGUAGUCCACGCUGUAAACGGUGGGUACUAGGUGUGGGGUCCAUUCCACGGGUUCCGUGCCGUAGCUAACGCUUUAAGUACCCCGCCUGGGGAGUACGGCCGCAAGGCUAAAACUCAAAGGAGUUGACGGGGCCCCGCACAAGCGGCGGAGCAUGCGGAUUAAUUCGAUGCAACGCGUAGAACCUUACCUGGGUUUGACAUGGAUCGGGAGUGCUCAGAGAUGGGUGUGCCUCUUUUGGGGUCGGUUCACAGGUGGUGCAUGGCUGUCGUCAGCUCGUGUCGUGAGAUGUUGGGUUAAGUCCCGCAACGAGCGCAACCCUUGUUCACUGUUGCCAGCACGUUAUGGUGGGGACUCAGUGGAGACCGCCGGGGUCAACUCGGAGGAAGGUGGGGAUGACGUCAAGUCAUCAUGCCCCUUAUGUCCAGGGCUUCACGCAUGCUACAAUGGCUGGUACAGAGAGUGGCGAGCCUGUGAGGGUGAGCGAAUCUCGGAAAGCCGGUCUCAGUUCGGAUUGGGGUCUGCAACUCGACCUCAUGAAGUCGGAGUCGCUAGUAAUCGCAGAUCAGCAACGCUGCGGUGAAUACGUUCCCGGG
rnacentral:rRNA from 1 species